AGAACGAACGCUGGCGGCAUGCCUAAUACAUGCAAGUCGAACGAACUCUUCGGAGUUAGUGGCGCACGGGUGCGUAACGCGUGGGAAUCUGCCCCUUGGUUCGGAAUAACAGUUGGAAACGACUGCUAAUACCGGAUGAUGACGAAAGUCCAAAGAUUUAUCGCCAAGGGAUGAGCCCGCGUAGGAUUAGCUAGUUGGUGAGGUAAAGGCUCACCAAGGCAACGAUCCUUAGCUGGUCUGAGAGGAUGAUCAGCCACACUGGGACUGAGACACGGCCCAGACUCCUACGGGAGGCAGCAGUAGGGAAUAUUGGACAAUGGGACGAAAGCCUGAUCCAGCAAUGCCGCGUGAGUGAUGAAGGUCCUUAGGGUGUAAAGCUUCUUUACCGAGAUGAUAAUGAACAGUAGUCGGGAAGUAACGUAACGCCCCGACUUAACGUCCGUCG
rnacentral:rRNA from 1 species